rnacentral:lncRNA from 11 species
GAUCCAGAGGUCCGGCUCCGGAAGCAUGCCGCCGCCAACAACCGGGACAGUGAGCCAACGGCAUGACGGAGCCGCACAAAAGUGCUUUGGGACUCUGAAAUGCGCCUUUUUGCAUCCCUGCCAUUACAAUCGUCCCUGGUCUCGAGACGCAACGGUGUCUUUUCCUUUCUUAUCGCCUCGAGCCAGGCUUGGCAAGAAGAGGCAACCGAGUCGGGACAAGGUGGUCUCGUACAAGCCAUUUUUGUUUGGUUGGUGGUUUUUUGGAGGCCUUUUUGUGGCUCCCUGAACCUCCCAGGGGUCAAAAAUAUUCCCUAGCGGGCACGGAGAAAACACCUCUAUGAAUUCACCCUUCUCCUGACCGUUAUUCGGUCCAAAGAAGGCCUUUUCUUAACCCAGAAGUGACUUCUGGUUACUUGUUGUUAAAAUGGCUUAGAAGGACUGAAAAACAUGGCAAGAUUUGCCCACCUAAGCACAUUUUUAAAGCCUUUUUUUUUUGCAAUGGGAUGGAAGGAUGAGGGCCCUCGAGAUUUCUUAGGGUGCUAAUAUAACUGCAGGUAUUUUUUAGGAUUCUAAUACAUAUCUCAGCUUUUCUUAGAAUGCUAAUAUAUUUCCCAGCUUUCCUUGGGGCACUAAUAUCUCUCUCAGCUUUUCUUAGAAUGCUAAUAUAUCUCCCAGCUUUCCUUGGGGCACUAAUAUAUCUCUCAACUUUUCUUAGAAUGCUAAUAUAUUUCCCAGCUUUCCUUGGGGCACUAAUAUAUAUCUCAGCUUUUCUUAGGGUGCUAAUACAUCUCCAAACUUUCCUUGGGGUGUUAAUACAUCUCUCAGUUUUCCUUGGGGCACUAAUACAUCUCCAAACUUACCUUGGGGCACUAAUAUAUCUCCCAGCUUUUCUUAGGGUGCUAAUACAUCUCCAAACUUACCUUGGGGCACUAAUAUAUCUCCCAGCUUUUCUUAGGGUGCUAAUACAUCUCCAAACUUUCCUUGGGGUGUUAAUACAUCUCCCAGUUUUCCUUGGGAUGUUAAUACAUCUCUCAAUUUUCCUUAGAAUGUUAAUACAUCUCUCACCUUUUCUUAGGGUCCCAGUUUUUCUUGGGGUGUUAAUACAUCUCCCAGUUUUCCUUUGGAUGCUAAUACAUCUCCCAAUUUUCCUUAGAAUAUUAAUACAUCUCUCAGCUUUUCUUAGGGUGCUAAUAUAUCACCCAACUUUCCUUGGGGUGCUAAAACAUCUCCCAGCUUUUCUUAGGGUGCUAAUACAUCUCCCAGCUUCCCUUGGAGCGUUAAUACAUUUCUCAAUUUUACUUGGGGUGCUAAUACAUGUCCCAGCUUUCUUUGGAGUAAUUACACAUCUCCCAGCUUUUCUCGAGGUGCUAAUACAUCUCUCAGCUUUUUUUAGGGUGCUAAUAAUCUCCCAGAUUUCCUUGGUGUGUUAAUACAUCUCCCAGCUUUCCUUGGGGUGUGAAUACAACUCCCAACCUCACAGUUUUGCACCUACAGAUUAAGUGAAUGCUCUCCCUGGAAUCAUGCCAUUCCUUGCGUCGCAACACCCCAAAAUCUUUUGCAAAGCAUCUCGUCCCGAGCAGAUUAUUUCCCAAAAGCGGGCGGUUUGUCGCACACAUCCCUGAACAAGAGGACAGAGCUGCAUCUCAUACAUCUUUGUGUCCGUCUGUGAAUUUGGGGGCGGUCGGUUUCUGGCACUCUGGCUCUGCUUCUCUUAUUUUCCUCGUCUGUUGACAUCCACAACUGGGAAGGAAAGGUUCCGCCGGCGAGGAGCAGGAAGCUUGAAUGUUAACAUAUACACGCAUUGGGAUGUUCUGUGCCGGCAUCCGAGGGAGCGUGUGAGAACGGAACCAUCUGUCGGGAGGCGACUCGGCGGUGACGGCAGCAGCUGAAUCAGCCACCGGCGGAAAGGACUUUCUUGGAUCGAACUCUCCACUUUCCAAAACUCUUUCGAGACCCCGGCGGUUGGUGUUGCGUUCGCUUCGGCGGGUCUGGGUCAUCCGUUCCCCGGUGUUAUAAACGCAAUAAAAUCUAGACACAAAAGACUCUUGCGUAAAACAAACCGGGCGACCUAGAAUAACGUUCUCAAGAAGGUUCGUACAUUUGAACAAACGAAUGUAAACACGGCUCGGCUUGUCAAACAAUAAGGUAUUAGGCCUAACGGCUCCCACCGCCACACCAACUAUAAACGUCGGCUGGGGUGUCCACGUCGUAACUAUGAGCAGAACAUCACUUCCAUUCAUAACUUUCUCAUGAAUGGAUCCUGCAUAAGGAACAAAAGAUGGAUCGCUGAAUGAACAGAAGAAUUGAUUGAAUAGAAGAGUUGACUAUCGACAUUAUUGGUUAGAAAUUCAAAAGCGUGUGUGCAUUAUGCGUCUGUUCUGAGCAUUUGUUUGGUGAUCUAUACACAUGAUAAAAGUGAAAAUAUGUAUGUGUGGAUGUGGCUGGGGUGUCCACUUACACAGACAGGCUCCUACUAAACAGGACACACCAAUGGCCCUCGCUCCAAUGACAUUGUAGGUAUAGCGAGCAUUUUGAACAUGUCCAAGAGUCCUGCCAAUGUGUCAAGACCCAGGCUGCAGAGCACCAAUAACCAUACACAGAGGCCAGAAUCUAUCUAAUAUCUUUAUUGUAGGAGUAUAUAAAGUUAAUAAAAACAAGUGUAGAAAAUAGUCCAGAAGUAGACCUUUCAGGAAAGGUCAAAAUUAGUCCAAAGAAACAAUGUCCAAUAUGAAAUAUUAAGGUCCAAAGUUGUAAUCCAGUAACCGAAACACUCACUUUGCCAAGCAAAGUGAGGGGAGAUGACAAGGUCCUUUAGUCCAUGAAACUUAAGCAAGGCUAGGAAGUAAACUUGAUUCUUGGAACACUAGGCUUAAUUCAAGGCGACAAGAAACGAGGAGCAAGAACAGGAUCCGUGGUAAAUUCGUGGCGAGGUCCGGGAAGCAAGGCAAGGUCUGUGGAGCAAGACAAGGUCCUGGGAAGCAAGGCAAGGCUGGAAACGGGAACAAGGGCUUGGACGCGGGAGUAGCGUAGUCCACACACAAACUACUCCCGAAGCUGACGAAUUGACUCCGCAAGAUUCCUACGUGGGCAAAACACCUAAAUAGGGUCUCGUUUCCCCGCCAAAGAACAAUUCUCUGGGGAACCAGAACCGAAAGCCAUUCUCUGUGUCCAGAUGCAUGACUCCCUAAAGUUUCCCAUGGGAAGCAGGCUUAAUCAGCUGAAUGCCUGGCAGCGAUCCUAGCGCUCCUGCGAGAAGCCUCCUGAGCGCUUUUCUGUUGUUUAUAAUAAUCGCGGCGAGAAAAUGGGGGAGAUUUCGGCUCAAGGCUUGUUUGGCAGACUUCUGGAAGGCAAAUCUCCUGCAGGUGCAAGGGCUCCAAUUCUGGCUGGAAAAGCUCCAAUUCUGGCUGAAACUGUGGGAAACCGAAGUUUUCCUCUUCAUCUGUCACAACAGUGUUAGGAACGGGACUACAUGGCCCAUGAGUCAUCACACAAUGUCCUCUCCAAACACCAUCCUGACCACCACCUAAGUGAAAGCGUUCAGACGGGGACAAUUGCCUCCUAGAAUUUCCGUUUUUCCUCCACCACAGACAUCCCGGUGCUUCUGACUCUCCAUUGGUGUGUAAUUUGCAUGACUCCGCCCACUGCCUCUCCCAUAACCCUUUCCUAUACUUUUCGGUGGCACACAGAAAACAGAGGAAUUGAUCAGCAAGCGAACAUACUAGAGAGGUUUGAGGAGAAUUCACCAUCUAUAUAUAUAAAAGAGUGAUGGAAUCCCGGCGACCGACAAAACUGCAAAACUAAAGGCCCCCCAACCUCGAAAAUUGACAGCACAACCCCUCAUCCACGCCUCUAGAAUGUUACAACAAAAAGAAAAGAAAAAUAAAGUCCUAAUUAGAGGGAGAGGAAUAAUUGUUUUUAUCCAAUUGCUGCCAUUUAGAAGGCUAAGCUCUGCCCACUUGGUCUCCUAGCAACCCACUCAGCGCAGGGGACAGGCAGAGUUAGGCCUCUUCCACACUGCCUAUAAAAUACAUAGACUCCUCUACCCUCACCACUUUCAUAGUACACAUAGACUUGACAUGAUGGAAGUUGUAGUUCACCCUGAAUCAAGACACACUGUGACCCCAACCAGCAAUGGACCUGGACCACAUUUGGCACACAGGACCCCAUGACCAAUGAGAAGUACUCACGAGGAUUGGGAGCAAUUGAGCUUGAUUUAUUGGAGUUGUAGCUCACAUCCUGAGAACCCAAAGAACAAUGGAUCUGGACCAAACUGGACCAAGGUGUUCGGGAGGGAUAGACCUCAGUUUCUGGGAGUUGUAGUUCACCUAGAACCAGAAAAACCAUGAAUCCCACCAAUGAUGGAUCUGGACCAAGCUUGUCUCAUAGAAUCACCAUGACCAACUGAAUAUACUGGAGGAGUUUGGUGGGAACUGAUCUUCAUUUCUGGGAGUUGUAGUUCACCAACAUACAAAAACACUGUGACCAUCACUGAUGAUGGAUCUGGACCAAACUUGUCCCACAGAACCACCAUGACCAACUGAAUAUACUGGAGGGGUUUGGUGGGAACUGACCUAAGUUUCUGGGAGUUGUAGUUCACCAACAUCCAGAAAACUAUGACCAUCACCGAUGAUGGAUCUGGACCAAACUUGUCCCACAGAACCACCAUGACCAACUGAAUAUACUGGAUUGGUUUUGGGGGAAACGGACCUUCAUUUAUGGGAGUUGUAGUUCACCGACAUCCAGAAACACUGUAACCAUCAUCGAUGAUGGAUCUG